CAACCUGCCGAUGACUCGGGGAUAGCCUUUCGAAAGAAAGAUUAAUACCCGAUGGCAUAGUUCUUCNGCAUGGUAGAACUAUUAAAGAAUUUCGGUCAUCGAUGGGGAUGCGUUCCAUUAGGUUGUUGGCGGGGUAACGGCCCACCAAGCCUUCGAUGGAUAGGGGUUCUGAGAGGAAGGUCCCCCACAUUGGAACUGAGACACGGUCCAAACUCCUACGGGAGGCAGCAGUGAGGAAUAUUGGUCAAUGGACGAGAGUCUGAACCAGCCAAGUAGCGUGAAGGAUGACUGCCCUAUGGGUUGUAAACUUCUUUUAUACGAGAAUAAAGUGAGGCACGUGUGCCUUUUUGUAUGUACCGUAUGAAUAAGGAUCGGCUAACUCCGUGCCAGCAGCCGCGGUAAUACGGAGGAUCCGAGCGUUAUCCGGAUUUAUUGGGUUUAAAGGGAGCGUAGGCGGACGCUUAAGUCAGUUGUGAAAGUUUGCGGCUCAACCGUAAAAUUGCAGUUGAUACUGGGUGUCUUGAGUACAGUAGAGGCAGGCGGAAUUCGUGGUGUAGCGGUGAAAUGCUUAGAUAUCACGAAGAACUCCGAUUA
rnacentral:rRNA from 1 species